UACGGAGGGUGCGAGCGUUGUCCGGAAUCACUGGGCGUAAAGGGCGCGUAGGCGGCUCUGCACGUCCGUUGUGAAAUCGCCCGGCUCAACUGGGCGGGGUCAGCGGAUACGGCAGAGCUUGAGCAAGCUAGGGGGCAAUGGAAUUCCCGGUGUAGUGGUGGAAUGCGUAGAUAUCGGGAGGAGCACCAGUGGCGAAGGCGGUUGCCUGGGGCUUUGCUGACGCUGAUGCGCGAAAGCGUGGGGAGCGAUCCGG
rnacentral:rRNA from 1 species